ensembl:lncRNA
CUAUGAAAUGAUUCGUUUUUAACCAAAUUUACAUAAAUAUGUAAAAACAUUAAAAAUUUUAUUUAUUUUUAUCUUAUUAUGCAUUUAUUUAUUUACAUAACUAUAUGCAUGCAUGUGUAUUUAUUUAUGCAUUUAUUUAUGCAUUUAUUUGUGCAUUUAUUUGUUCAUUUAUUUGUUCAUUUAUUUGUUCAUUUAUUUUUGUGUAAUAAACAUUUUUUAUUAUAAAAAAUUAAAAAAAAAUACUAUGACUUUUAUAAUUGAUAUAUAUAUAUAUGUAUUAAAUUAAAAAUAAUUAAUUUGAUUAUUCAUGCUAUUUUAAAAUAAUAAAAAGUUAUAAUAUCUACUAGAAUAUUAAAGUAAAUAUUAAUAACAUACUUUUUUUUUUUUUUUUUUUUUUUUUUUUUUUUUUUUUUUUUUUUUUUUGUGCUUCUACACUUUUAUAACUGUUCAAAUUAAAUAACCAUGAAUGAAAAAAGGUGCAUUUUUAUUAUAUUACCAGAUGUUACCAAUAAUUUUAAAGUAAUAAAUAGCAUCCUCAGCAUAUAAAAAUAAUUUUAAUUUAAAUACAUAAAAAGUCAUACGGAAAUAGAGCUUAUGUAUAAAUAUACUCAUAAUAUACAUACAUAUACAUAUAUAUAUAUAUAUAUAUAUAUAUAUAUAUAUAUAUACAUGCCCAUUACUUAUUCGAAUACAGGAUAAAUGUGUUAUAGAAAAAUUAGAAGAAAAAGAGUUUAUUAUUUUAAAAAAAAAGAAAAUAUACUUAACAGGAAACGACAUACUAGAGAUAUUUACUUAUAAACCUGAGCAAUAUGAACAUAUCGAAGAGUUUUAUGAGUAUUUGGAAAGCGGACUGUGUGUAGUUUGUUUAAUAGAGCACCUUGAAGGAGAUACAAUAAAAAAAUUAAACCUUUUAAUUAAGAGUACUUCUAUGUUUAUAAAGGAUGAAAAAUACUUUGAUUGCUUAGAGUACCAAUGUAAUUUAAGAUGUAAAAAUAUUCCUUUUUAUUUUAGCAAAAAUUGUUGGUAUUUCUGUAGAGACUUAAAUUAUUUUUUCCCACCACAUAAUAAAAAUAAUAUAGAAAGAAGUUUAAUAAUAUUAAAACCUGAUGCUAUAGAAAAUAAUAAAAUAAAUGAUAUUAUUAACGACAUAUUGAAUUUUAAUUUGUUAGUGGUUGCUAUAAAAAGAGGUGUGUUGUCUAAUGAGCGUGCCAGUAAAUUGUAUGAAGACUUGAAACAUAAGCCUUACUACCACACUUUGAUAGACUUUAUGACAUCUAAAGUAGGGAUAGUCUGUCUGUUAAUAGAAGGCAUAAACUGCAUUGACCGAGUAAAAAUUUUAUGCGGUCCAUCCUUAUCUAUGGUUAGCUUCAAGGACAUGCCUAAAAGAUGUUUAAAAAAAAAAUACGGAACCAGCGAAAUGCGUAAUGCUGUGCAUGUUCCGAGUGAUGAAAAAAUAGACUAUGAAAUAGAACUAUUUUUUAGAGAGGAAGAUAUGAAUAGUGAAAUUGGUAUUUUAUUAAUAAAAAAAAGUAUAGUAAAUCCAGAUGCUUUAUUUCAGUUAAGAGAUUAUUUUAAUAUGUACGGUUUUAAAAUAUUAGAAGAAAAAGUUAUAAAUAUGGAUAACUCGAUGUUAAUGUAUUUAAUUAGUGAAAAUAAGAGCAAAAUUAAUGAACAAAUUAAUGAACAAAUUAAUGAACAAGUUUGUAGAACAUUGAAGGGUAACAUUGAAAAGUUUGUCAUAAUUUUAGUUCACAGAAUAAAUUGUCUUACAUGCUUAGAAUACUUAAUUGAUUUAAAAAGUGUUAGAGAAUAUAAAAUAAAAAGUCCGAAUUGUAUUUUAAGUAUGUUUAUGUGUUGUAGUUACCAAUUAGGUAAUCGCCACAUAGAUAUUCCUAAUGGUAGUAAACAGAAUUAUAAAAACAUUGGAAAUGAUUAUUAUUAUAAUAGUAACGAAAAUAAUGUAAGUAAUAAAAAUAUAAUUUUUGUGAAAGAUAAAGAUAAAAUAAUAGAAUUAAUAAAACGUUAUUUUAAUUUUGCAAAGUAUAAUGAUACACUUACAGUAGAUAUGAUUCGUGAUUUUUUUUUUUGUAAAAACGUUAAAACUUUUGAAAAAAAAGAAAAAAAUAUAAAAUUAAAUGAUGUAUUACUGGAAUGUUUUACUGAGAUUUGUAAAAAAAAACCAGAUGAAUAUAAUGCGAUAUUUUGGUUAUAUAAUUGGCUGAAACAAAAAGAAAAAGCGAUUAAAAGCGAUAUACAGGUAAAAAAGACAUUUAAACAAAAAGCGAAUGAAAUUGUUAUAUUAGGUCAAAAAAAUAAAGAAGAAAUUGGAAAUGGAGAAUAUUUAAAUAAGGAUAAUUUAAAAGAGGGGGAUAGUAUGGAUGAAAAUAACAAUACAGAUAAGGAUAGCAGUGACAGUAGUAUAAAAAAAAAAGACAAAAACGAAUUUAAUGAACUGGACACACACAACGAUAAAAUAAAUUCUAGUGUGAACAAUAUGAAAAAUGUAAUAAAAAAAAAAAAUGCAAUAAAAGUAAGUAAUGAAAAUUUGAUGUUAAAAAGGAAAAAUAUUAUUUUAAUUCCAGAUAAUAUAUAUACUGAUCCAGAUAAAAAUAAAGAAGACGAAAAAAGUAUUU